CUCAGACACGGGGAUGCUCGCAAUGCCUCUAUCAAAGACGCGUCGCACUGUGUUGUUAUGUGUUGUCAUAGUUAUUUCAUUGAAAAAUUAAUUUGACCGUUAACUCUGGCGCACACAAAGUUAUUUUCUGUCUGUAAAAAAAUAAACCCACGAGGAAAGUAGAGUGUGAGAGAGAGAGAGGGAAAAAAAAAGGGGGAAAUACGAACUGUCAAAAGAAUCCGAACAACCAAAGCUUGAUUUGCCGAAGGACCUUUUUAGACCACACCCUUUCGAGCAUACCUCAUUUUCGAAAUUAAGCAGAAGCAUACAAGAGUCGACGAGGAAACCAAAGAAAAUAGAAAACGAUAAAAAGCACCAAAAAAAAAGAAGAAGGGAGAGAGAGAAUAAGUGAAGAAACAAAAUUGAAAGCAUUGCCUUAGAAGAAUACCUACACCGCGCGGUAAACUUGAGAAAGAGAGAGAGCGAGAGAAAGAGAGAGAUAGAAGGAGAGAGAGAAGUACGAAGCGACAAAAAAAAACAAAACUGAAGAAAACCAAAAACAUAAGAGAGGGAGAACGUGAUUAUACAAAGGGAGGAACAAAUUUUAGAAGAAAAACGAGAAAUCGCCUACGAAAAUAAAUUGUAAAGAUAUGACUAAACUAUAUUUUUAACAAGUUUUGAGAACUUUAGAUUUUAAAGGAUUUAACAUUAAAUGCGGAGGAGGGAAAAAAAGGGAUGAGGGAAAUGAUAAAAUUCCUAGUAACCUAAACAAAAGAAAAAAAAAAAAAAGAAGAAGAAGAAACAUGUGAUCUAAAAGUCGUUGCUACCAAGAGAGCCUUAUGUCCUUGUUUCAGUUAGUUCGGUUCCACAUCUUCAAGCGGGAGACGCGUUGCAGCGAGAGAUUCCCGCUCAGGAGAGGAAGACUGGACGAAGCGGAAGAAGCGGAAUAAGACUUGAGAUCAGAGGCAGAGGAGCAGGAGCGAGACCUUCCGAGGCGCGAGGAAGAGCGAGCGGGAAACGCGGGAAGAGGAGAGACGUCCGGUUCGAGGAGGAGCGUGCCCCGAGGAAGACCGAAGGAUCCACCUGGAAGGGAAGAGCACGGAGAAGGAGAAGGAGAAGCGGCGGGAAGGGAGAGGGAGAUUAAAGGAGAAAGAAAGAGAGAGAGAGCUCGCCGGGUCUCGCCCGAGCACCAGCGAAGGAAGAAACCCCGCGCCAUACAUAUAGAUUUCAGUGUGUUCAAAAAACGAGUGUACCUAAGUGCAAUAUUAAUUAAAAAGAAGAGGAAACCUACGCUAAACGAUAAUAAGAAGCAACUACCGGGGCCGGAUCGAACCGCAGGGCGCGGCGAUCGGCGAUCGAUUUCUAAUCGUUUAGAGAUUAAACCUAGAGUCGCAUCUCGAGGCGGAGUCGCCACGGAAGCGACGCCCUCGGGAGGGUCCUAGGCAGAAGGCGCCGAGAAUUCGAGGAAGAGGAAGAGGAAGAGGAAGAGGAAGAGACGAGAGUCCGGAGGUCCCGAGGGAGAGGGAGAGAGAGAGAGAGAGAGGAACGGGCCGUCGUCCCGCGCGAUACACAUCUCACGGUCGCGCACACCUCGGCGGGAACGCACCCGACCGGGCGCGGGCGCGCACCACACACACGCACACGCACACCACGGGGCAACAAAACUCAGGGCAAAGCGGGACGACCGGACGCCUCUCCCGUCCGGGAGCCGAGGAUCGGCCUUCGACCUUGGACCCCGAGCGGCGUCGACGUGGACCUCCGCGUCUCGUUCACACCGUCCGGGCUGGGCAAUCCUGAAUUAACCUGAACUUAAGUGUACGGUAGAUGUUAAGUAGUUAGAGAGAAGAGAAUAGAGCGCGCCUCCUCGAGUAGGAGGGGGUGUAGCGGGAGGACGAGGGACCGCGCGAGCGCGACCCUUCGCGCGCGCCCGCACACACACACGCACCCACACAACCACACCACACCCACGACAGGCACACACUCUCGGACGGAAGACGCGACGGAGACCGGCAGCGACCUUCGCGAGUAGUGCCGGCACGGGAGGGCCGAUCGGGAGGCCGGCCGACUCGCCGCUCCAGGAGGUUUGAUGAGCCAGGUCCGAGUGGGCGGCUCCAGGAAGAGUCCGGAGUCGGGGAAGUGACGCCUCGCCGGGAGCGACCUCGGGAGUCCCGGCCGGGCCCCACGGGAAGCGCGGAGGUGCGCCCGCCGCCGAGCUGGUUACCAGGAGCGGUGCCAAUAACCGGGCAAGCUGCGCCGCAAGGGGGUAGCCCGGGCUUCGCGCGAAGGCCUCAAGAUUUCGGACGCGACGGCGGCCCUGGACCUGCGAGCGCAGACCCAAGCCCAGCCGGAGUUCGGCCUAGACCAGCACCAUCGCGCGCCAAACCCGGAGACCCGGAGGCACCA